GUAAGGAAUAUUGGUCAAUGGGCGCAAGCCUGAACCAGCCAUGCCGCGUGCAGGAAGACGGCCCUCUGGGUUGUAAACUGCUUUUGUACGGGAAUAAACCUUGCUUCGUGAAGCGAGCUGAAUGUACCGUAAGAAUAAGGAUCGGCUAACUCCGUGCCAGCAGCCGCGGUAAUACGGAGGAUCCGAGCGUUAUCCGGAUUUAUUGGGUUUAAAGGGUGCGUAGGCGGCCUGUUAAGUCAGGGGUGAAAGACGGUGGCUCAACCAUCGCAGUGCCCUUGAUACUGAUGGGCUUGAAUGGACUAGAGGUAGGCGGAAUGUGACAAGUAGCGGUGAAAUGCAUAGAUAUGUCACAGAACACCGAUUGCGAAGGCAGCUUACUAUGGUCUGAUUGACGCUGAGGCACGAAAGCGUGGGGAUCGAACAGG
rnacentral:rRNA from 1 species